rnacentral:rRNA from 1 species
UACGUAGGGGGCAAGCGUUGUCCGGAUUUAUUGGGCGUAAAGAGCGUGUAGGCGGCCAAGCAGGUCCGCUGUGAAAACUCGAGGCUCAACCUCGAGACGUCGGUGGAAACCGUUUGGCUAGAGUCCGGAAGGGGAGAGUGGAAUUCCCGGUGUAGCGGUGAAAUGCGCAGAUAUCGGGAAGAACACCCGUGGCGAAGGCGGCUCUCUGGGACGGUACUGACGCUGAGACGCGAAAGCGUGGGGAGCGAACAGG